CCUACGGGGGGCUGCAGUAGGGAAUCUUCCACAAUGGGCGAAAGCCUGAUGGAGCAACGCCGCGUGGGUGAAGAAGGUCUUCGGAUCGUAAAACCCUGUUGUUAGAGGAGAAAGUGCGUGAGAGUAACUGUUCACGUUUCGAUGGUAUCUAACCAGAAAGCCACGGCUAACUACGUGCCAGCAGCCGCGGUAAUACGUAGGUGGCAAGCGUUAUCCGGUUUUAUUGGGCGUAAAGGGAACGCAGGCGGUCUUUUAAGUCUGAUGUGAAAGCCUUCGGCUUAACCGGAGUAGUGCAUUGGAAACUGGGAGACGUGAGUGCAGAAGAGGAGAGUGGAACUCCAGGUGUAGCGGUGAAAUGCGUAGAUAUAUGGAAGAACACCAGUGGCGAAAGCGGCUCUCUGGUCUGUAACUGACGCUGAGGUUCGAAAGCGUGGGUAGCAAACAGGAUUAGAUACCCCAGUAGUC
rnacentral:rRNA from 1 species